UACGUAGGGUGCAAGCGUUGUCCGGAAUUAUUGGGCGUAAAGAGCUCGUAGGCGGUUUGUCGCGUCUGCUGUGAAAACCCGAGGCUCAACCUCGGGCCUGCAGUGGGUACGGGCAGACUAGAGUGCGGUAGGGGGAGAAUGGAAUUCCUGGUGUAGCGGUGGAAUGCGCAGAUAUCAGGAGGAACACCGAUGGCGAAGGCAGGUCUCUGGGCCACUACUGACGCUGAGAAGCGAAAGCAUGGGGAGCGAACAGG
rnacentral:rRNA from 1 species